AUUGAACGCUGGCGGCAAGCCUAACACAUGCAAGUCGAACGAGUGGCGGACGGGUGAGUAAUGUCUGGGAAACUGCCUGAUGGAGGGGGAUCACCACUGGAAACGGAAGCUAAUACCGCAUACCAUCGGAUGUGCCCAGAUGGGAUUAGCUAGUGGGGGGGGUAAAGGCUCACAUGGGCGACGAUCCCUAGCUGGUCUGAGAGGAUGACCAGCCACACUGGACCGGAGCCACGGUCCAAACUCCUACGGGAGGCGGAAUUGGGAAAUAUUGGAAAAGGGGGGAAGGCUGGAUGCGGCAAUGCCGCGUGGAUGAAGAAGGCCUUCGGGUGUUAAAGUACUUUCAGCGGGGAGGCGUUACCCGCAGAGGAAGCACCGGCUAACUCCGUGCCAGCAGCCGCGGUAAUAC
rnacentral:rRNA from 1 species